rnacentral:rRNA from 1 species
UACGUAGGGGGCAAGCGUUGUCCGGAUUUAUUGGGCGUAAAGAGCGUGUAGGCGGCUUUGCAAGUCCGUUGUGAAAACUCGAGGCUCAACCUCGAGACGCCGGUGGAAACUGCAAAGCUAGAGUCCGGAAGAGGAGAGUGGAAUUCCUGGUGUAGCGGUGAAAUGCGCAGAUAUCAGGAGGAACACCAAUGGCAAAGGCAGCACUCUGGGACGUGACUGACGCUGAGACGCGAAAGCGUGGGGAGCGAACAGG